UUCAUCUUGCGGGUAUGACUCGUCCUCGCAUUCUUACUUCGCCUUUGUUUCCUUCAGCUUCUUGAUCCUGAAAUUUUAAGAUAAAUUGUAAGUACUCAGUAUCAUGUUCUUAAGCAAAGCUAUUGUUUUUUGGUUGAAUUAUAGUGUUUUCUCUGACCUAUGUAUAGUGUCAAUAAAAAUCUAAAUUACAAGAUGGAGAUACAUUUUUUGGUGGCAUCUUACAUCACAGUAAUUUACAACCAAGAUAGGCCUACAAUGUCUUUUUGAUAGCAACGAUAAUGCAUAGCUGCAGAUUUUGUCGAAUACACAUAUGUAUUUUGUAUGCAUGACAAAUACUGGGGUCAAAUAGAAUAACAAGUAAAUCAUUCAUUUUGUCUUCAUAUUUACUUGAAGGACUGCAUGUUCUUCAUCUUUGUAAGCCCCAUGUAUUUGCUUGUAAGCUUCAGUAGUGUCAUCUAUCUAUUCUGAUUUAUACACUACAUUCCUAAGCUGAAAUAUUUUUUGUAACUGAAAUAUAUAGUUUGAGUUUCAUUCAGUUAUUUGUCACUUUUUAACUGAAUAUCUUUUUGUAACUGAAAUAUAUGUGCACUUACAAUGCCUGUCUCAUAGGGUUUCUUUGUAACUGAAAUAUAAGCUCUGUCCAGUAAGCAUUUCUUCACCCUUGGGCAACUUUGCACAAAUGGACUGUGUAUUACACUACACGUGCUUCUUUUUGUUAUGGAUGGUUCGGUCUAUGAACCAUGUGAUCAAUGCUUGAUUUCAUAUUGCUCUAUCGUUGUCCUUUGCUGCAUUUGAUGGACUUGUAAACUAUCUCGCAGCACAAAAUUUGACCAUGGAGAUGACUAACAUGGCUUCUCUGUCUUAUGCUCUAUUUGUCAGUGAAAAAUCUUGCACCUUGACCGACAGAAUUAAGAGGGACUAGAAUGGGGAAGGACCUCUACUGUAUCACGAUGGAACUGGUUACUUGAAUGUGAAUGGCCAACUCCAUGCCAGCUAUCUUUUAAUCUUACUAUGCUUUUGCAUUAUCUUCGUCAGUGAGAAGUUGUUAUAUGCUAGAAGACUAGCUUCAAACUCAAUUUAGAACAGACCUAAAUGCAUUCUUUGUCCAGUAGUUAAUUUGGACAUGCCACUUUCUGGCUUGCUCAUAAAUAUCUUGGCUAUUUUGACCCUCAAGCCAUCCAUUAGUACUAUGCUGCUGUACCAAUGCACCUGAUUUUUAUUCUACCAGUUAAUUCAAAAAAUGUCUCUAGAUAUGUGCUUCAUCCACUUACUGCAUAUGACAUCUCCCUAUAUUUUUCUGAACCAUUUAACUGAUUUUUGUUGUAGUCCAAAAUUAUAUGUUUAUGUUUAUUGCCUUUUUUUAGUGUGUUGAUAUUUGAAAGGGAACAGGGCAAUGUGUUGCACUCUUGCUUUUGUUAGAGCACUAUAUUCUAUUGUUAACCAUGCUAUGGUCCAAACUCCUUUUUAUUCUGCUCAUAUAAUAUUGCUCAUCUUUUGUUUUCUGUCCUGAUGCCUCCUAUAUUUAGAGUAGAAAUAUUCUUAAUUUAGUGUUUCUUGAACAUGGCCAGGGCAAUGGAUAAAAUCUACUCUGGAGAGUUGACAGAGGGAGCAAUUGCUAAGUUGACUUUUUUCCUAUGGAUUUGCUUAUCGUGAAGAUGCUUGCAAGGAUGCAAAGGGAGCAGAUCAUUUGGAGAGAUGCCACUGUUUGGUGUUUUUAUGCAUUUUGGUUUGCUUGUAACUAUGUUUGCACUAGCUGGGAGUAAGUGACUUGGCAAGAAGUAUAGGUGUUUUAAUUGAAGGCCUGAAAACCAUGACAAUUCUGUAUGCUCUUACAGUAUGUGCUCUAAUGCCGCUGGUUUAUUAUAAAUCUUGGAUUAGUAAUGAUGUGUAGUGCUGCUGGUUUAUUGCAAAU
rnacentral:lncRNA from 1 species